CGAGGUGUAGCUCAGCUUGGUAGAGUACUACGUUCGGGACGUAGGAGUCGCAGGUUCAAAUCCUGUCACCUCGACCA
rnacentral:tRNA from 1 species